CACUACCGUACGGCUCGCGCUCAACGGCACUGUGCUCGACCCCGACUGCUGCGGUGCCGGCUGGCAGGUGUCCAGCAGCACGUGGUGGUGGUUCGGCUGCAUCAUGCUCAUCGUGUGCGCCCUGAUGGUGGCCACCCUCAAGUAUUGCAGCAAACUGGCGAGUGAUCCCGACGCCGUGGCGCGGCACAAGCAAGCCAUCUACGAACUGGUCCACGGUCACGGCUGAAGAUUG